GAGGAGGUAGAAUAUCUAGAAGAAGAUAUGGUGCCGAUUGCCCCACCUCCGUAUGUGGGGGGUGCCAAGGUUCCGGGAGAUCUUUUCAUGCACAAGUUUGGAGGACAGUUAAUACAGAUAUGGGACUUGCAUACCCUGUAUUUCAGGACAAUAACAGGGGAAGAUAUCAUGAGCCUUUAGACUUUAAGAUAAUUAAAACCUUGGCAGAAUCUGUCCGCACUUAUGGCAUAGAUGCCGCUUUCACUCUCACUCAGGUGGAGGGACUUACUAGAUUUUGCAUGACUCCCUCAGAUUGGGCUAGUCUAGUGUGCGCUUGUGUUUCCCCAGGGAAAUAUUAGGAGUCCAAAGUUGGCUGUUUAAUGUUUCUGGCAGUACCCAAGACUCGGAGUGAGAUCCAGAGUCAUUUCCUAUUGUUGAACUGAUUGGAGCCCGUAGAGAUUUUGGAAUUACGGCAGCUAUGGUGACAGCUGUGGCGAUAUCUGCUGCUGCAGCAGUUACAGCUGGAGUAGCCAUGGCCAGCCAGGUACAAACUGCUGCCACUAUUAAUCAGGUUAUUCAACAAACAUCCACCAUACUUGAGUCUCAAAGUAAAAUUAAUCAACACACUUUAUCUGGGAUUCUAGCUGCUAAUCAAAGGAUAGAUCUGCUUCAAGCUCAAGUUGAGGAAUUGUCUGACCUAGUACAUUUGGGUUGUAUUGAUCAACGUGCACAUUUAUGUAUAACCUCUGUCAGAUUUUAUGAUUCCAGAAAUGCCUCCCGCAUCAUCGGGGAAUAUUUAUCCGGAACCUGGUCCAUGGAAGCAGAAAACUUGAUCCAGUCUCAACUAACUCAGAUUGCUGUUCUGAAUAGCACCCGUGUCGAACCAGUGACUUUGGGUCAAUUCACCAGUUGGCUAUCCUCUGCCUUUCCUUUUUUAAGGAAUGGGUGGGAGUGGGCAUUUUUGGUGCAAUGUGUUGCUUCGGUGUUGUACUUUGUUUGUGGCUUCUCUGUCGCCUUAAAACUCGCCAUGCACAAGAAAAGGCUAUGAUCAUACAAGCUCUUGCAGCUUUAGAAAAUGGCAACUCACCUCAAGUCUGGCUUGCGCAUCUUAAGCAGUAAACCUUUGUCAUGGUCGUUACACCCCAAGUUAUUAUAACAUUGCACUGGGAUCGACAUGACUUUCCUUGUUAUUCUCUUAGUGUUGGAAAGCCCUUGCACUCUGCCGGUCUUACUGCCAUUGCACGCAGAUGGGUUUCCACACUAGUGCUUUUCUAUCGUCUUAAAGUCCGUGCCUUUCUUUCAGGGUGCUGUCAACUUGUUUGUCGUUAUAAACAGCCACAGUUCAGCCUCAGCUAUCCCCCUUCGUCCACCAUCGUCACGAUACAGGAUGCGAGGCAAGGCACUGCACUUGAGUGAUCCUUGACGUGGACCUCAAGGAGAGCAUGUCCUAUUGCAUGCGGGUUAGACGCGUCCACGCCCCGCCCCACGAAAAAAGGCGUCGGCUGAUAUGGCUUCAGAUCUGGGGAAGGCGCCUCCUUAGGACUGAGUCAUACUAUGCAGCCACUUCUGCACAGUGGGAUAGGACCUCUACUCUCGCCUGUAUUGUUUUAAGAAAACAGAAAGGGGGAACUGUGGUGAGCCGCUUCUGCCGUUUCUGCAGACUAUGGUCGCCAUUACAAGAUGGCGCUGGCUCCGCUGUGGUCUGUGACAAACAACUCCUUAUCUGGGAGAGUUGGCACAUGAUUUUUCACCACCCUGUACACCACCCUGUGAGAAAGCUCCACGCGGCAGCUUUGCAUUGGGGCUUGGGAUGCUUUAUUAAGGCUGGGAGGGGCAUCAGAGAGAGAAAAGAAGAAAUAUCAAGGGCCUGAAUAAACUGCUGAAAGAAGA